UACGAAGAGGGCUAGCGUUGCUCGGAAUUACUGGGCGUAAAGCGCACGUAGGCGGCUCUUUAAGUCGGAGGUGAAAUCCUGGAGCUCAACUCCAGAACUGCCUUCGAUACUGUAGAGCUUGAGUUCGGGAGAGGUGAGUGGAACUGCGAGUGUAGAGGUGAAAUUCGUAGAUAUUCGCAAGAACACCAGUGGCGAAGGCGGCUCACUGGCCCGAUACUGACGCUGAGGUGCGAAAGCGUGGGGAGCAAACAGG
rnacentral:rRNA from 1 species